rnacentral:rRNA from 1 species
UGCGCAGGCGGUUUAUCAAGAAAGGUGUGAAAUCCCCGGGCUCAACCUGGGAAUGGCACUUUUAACUGAUAGGCUAGAGUAUGUCAGAGGGGGGUAGGAAUUCCACGUGUAGCAGUGAAAUGCGUAGAGAUGUGGAGGAAUACCGAUGGCGAAGGCAGCCCCCUCGGGAUAAUACUGACGCUCAUGCACGAAAGCGUGGGGGAGCAAACGA